GCCAGGCACGGUGGCGUGUGCCUGUAGUCCUAGUUACUCAGGAGUCUGAGGUGGGAGGAUCAUUUGAGCCCAGGAAGUUGAGGCUGCAGUGAGCCGAGAUUGUGCCACUGCACUCCAACCUGGGCAACAUAGUAAGACCCUGUCUCAA
rnacentral:sRNA from 1 species